rnacentral:rRNA from 1 species
UGUCCUUAUUUGCCAGCACGUAAUGGUGGGAACUCUAAGGAGACUGCCGGUGACAAACCGGAGGAAGGUGGGGACGACGUCAAGUCAUCAUGGCCCUUAUGACCAGGGCUACACACGUGCUACAAUGGGACGUACAGAGGGUUGCUAAGCCGCGAGGUGGAGCCAAUCCCAGAAAACGUUUCGCAGUCCGGAUCGAAGUCUGCAACUCGACUUCGUGAAGUCGGAAUCGCUAGUAAUCGCGAAUCAGCAUGUCGCGGUGAAUACGUUC